rnacentral:rRNA from 1 species
UGUAACGGGGCUAAACCAUGCACCGAAGCUGCGGCAGCGACACUGUGUGUUGUUGGGUAGGGGAGCGUUCUGUAAGCCUGUGAAGGUGGCCUGUGAGGGUUGCUGGAGGUAUCAGAAGUGCGAAUGCUGACAUAAGUAACGAUAAAGCGGGUGAAAAGCCCGCUCGCCGGAAGACCAAGGGUUCCUGUCCAACGUUAAUCGGGGCAGGGUGAGUCGACCCCUAAGGCGAGGCCGAAAGGCGUAGUCGAUGGGAAACGGGUUAAUAUUCCCGUACUUGGUGUUACUGCGAAGGGGGGACGGAGAAGGCUAUGUUGGCCGGGCGACGGUUGUCCCGGUUUAAGCGUGUAGGUGUGUGUUCCAGGUAAAUCCGGUU